UGGGGAAUAUUGCACAAUGGGCGCAAGCCUGAUGCAGCCAUGCCGCGUGUAUGAAGAAGGCCUUCGGGUUGUAAAGUACUUUCAGCGAGGAGGAAGGCGUUGUGGUUAAUAACCGCAGCGAUUGACGUUACUCGCAGAAGAAGCACCGGCUAACUCCGUGCCAGCAGCCGCGGUAAUACGGAGGGUGCAAGCGUUAAUCGGAAUGACUGGGCGUAAAGCGCACGCAGGCGGUCUGUCAAGUCGGAUGUGAAAUCCCCGGGCUCAACCUGGGAACUGCAUCCGAAACUGGCAGGCUAGAGUCUUGUAGAGGGGGGUAGAAUUCCAGGUGUAGCGGUGAAAUGCGUAGAGAUCUGGAGGAAUACCGGUGGCGAAGGCGGCCCCCUGGACAAAGACUGACGCUCAGGUGCGAAAGCGUGGGGAGCAAACA
rnacentral:rRNA from 1 species